rnacentral:rRNA from 1 species
UAUUAAAGGCAACGCCUGCCCAGUGAAUAAUUAAACGGCCGCGGUACCCUAACCGUGCAAAGGUAGCGUAAUCACUUGUCUAUUAAUUGUAGACCUGUAUGAAAGGCAUAAUGAGGGUCUAACUGUCUCUUUUAGUAAAUCAAUUAAACUGAUCUCCCAGUCCAAAAGCCGGGAUACUAACAUAAGACCAGAAGACCCUGUGAAGCUUUAACUAAACUACUAAAUCACAUAAUAACUACUUUCGGUUGGGGCGACCUUGGAAAAAAAAAGAACUUCCAAACACAAUAUUUAUAGCAUAUUCACAUUCAGGCCAACAAGCCUACUAACGACCCAGCACAGCUGACAACUGAACCAAGUUACUCCAGGGAUAACAGCGCUAUCUUCUUCAAGAGCCCAUAUCAAAAAGAAGGUUUACGACCUCGAUGUUGGAUCCAGGACAUCCUGGUGGUGCAGCCGCUACCAAAGGUUCGUUUGUUCAACGAUUAACAGUCCUACGUGAUCUG